UACGAAGGGUGCAAACGUUGCUCGGAAUCAUUGGGUGUAAAGCGCACGUAGGCGGCUUCGCAAGUCGGAUGUGAAAUCCCUCGGCUCAACCGAGGACGUGCAUCCGAAACUGCGAAGCUUGAGUACUGAAGAGGAUCGCGGAAUUCCACGUGUAGCGGUGAAAUGCGUAGAUAUGUGGAGGAAUACCGAUGGCGAAGGCAGCCUCCUGGGCCAACACUGACGCUCAUGCACGAAAGCGUGGGGAGCAAACAGG
rnacentral:rRNA from 1 species